rnacentral:rRNA from 1 species
GACGAACGCUGGCGGCGUGCUUAACACAUGCAAGUCGAACGAUGAAACCUAGCUUGCUAGGUCGAUUAGUGGCGAACGGGUGAGUAACACGUGACUAACCUGCCCCUUUCUCUGGGAUAACGCUCCGAAAGGAGUGCUAAUACCGGAUACUCACACCGAGGCACAUGCCUUGGUGUGGAAAGUUUUUCGGAAAGGGAUGGGGUCGCGGCCUAUCAGCUUGUUGGUGAGGUAACGGCUCACCAAGGCGACGACGGGUAGCCGGCCUGAGAGGGCGACCGGCCACACUGGGAAUGAGACACGGCCCAGACUCCUACGGGAGGCAGCAGUGGGGAAUAUUGCACAAUGGGCGCAAGCCUGAUGCAGCGACGCCGCGUGAGGGAUGAAGGUCUUCGGAUUGUAAACCUCUUUCAGUAGGGACGAAGCGAAAGCGACGGUACCUAAAGAAGAAGCACCGGCUAACUACGUGCCAGCCGCCGCAGUAA